UACGAAGGGGCUAGCGUUGUUCGGAAUUACUGGGCGUAAAGCGCGCGUAGGCGGUGAUCUUUGUCAGAGGUGAAAGCCCGGGGCUCAACUCCGGAAUUGCCUUUGAAACGGGAUCGCUAGAGUCCGAGAGAGGAUGGCGGAAUUCCUAGUGUAGAGGUGAAAUUCGUAGAUAUUAGGAAGAACACCGGUGGCGAAGGCGGCCAUCUGGCUCGGUACUGACGCUCAGGCGCGAAAGCGUGGGGAGCAAACAGG
rnacentral:rRNA from 1 species